UACGACGGAGCACGUGAAAUUCCGUCGGAAUCUGGGAGGACCAUCUCCUAAGGCUAAAUACUCUCUAGUGACCGAUAGUGAACCAGUACCGUGAGGGAAAGGUGAAAAGCACCCCGGAAGGGGAGUGAAAUAGAACCUGAAACCGUGUGCUUACAAGUAGUCAGAGCCCGUUAAUGGGUGAUGGCGUGCCUUUUGUAGAAUGAACCGGCGAGUUACGAUUUGAUGCAAGGUUAAGCAGUAAAUGUGGAGCCGUAGCGAAAGCGAGUCUGAAUAGGGCGUUUAGUAUUUGGUCGUAGACCCGAAACCAGGUGAUCUACCCUUGGUCAGGUUGAAGUUCAGGUAACACUGAAUGGAGGACCGAACCGACUUACGUUGAAAAGUGAGCGGAUGAACUGAGGGUAGCGGAGAAAUUCCAAUCGAACCUGGAGAUAGCUGGUUCUCUCCGAAAUAGCUUUAGGGCUAGCCUCAAGUGAUGAUUAUUGGAGGUAGAGCACUGUUUGGACGAGGGGCCCCUCUCGGGUUACCGAAUUCAGACAAACUCCGAAUGCCAAUUAAUUUAACUUGGGAGUCAGAACAUGGGUGAUAAGGUCCGUGUUCGAAAGGGAAACAGCCCAGACCACCAGCUAAGGUCCCAAAAUAUAUGUUAAGUGGAAAAGGAUGUGGCGUUGCCCAGACAACUAGGAUGUUGGCUUAGAAGCAGCCAUCAUUUAAAGAGUGCGUAAUAGCUCACUAGUCGAGUGACACUGCGCCGAAAAUGUACCGGGGCUAAACAUAUUACCGAAGCUGUGGAUUGUCCUUUGGACAAUGGUAGGAGAGCGUUCUAAGGGCGUUGAAGCAUGAUCGUAAGGACAUGUGGAGCGCUUAGAAGUGAGAAUGCCGGUGUGAGUAGCGAAAGACGGGUGAGAAUCCCGUCCACCGAUUGACUAAGGUUUCCAGAGGAAGGCUCGUCCGCUCUGGGUUAGUCGGGUCCUA
rnacentral:rRNA from 1 species